UACGGGGGGAGCAAGCGUUGUUCGGAUUCAUUGGGCGUAAAGGGUGCGCAGGCGGCGGGGUAAGUCUGAUGUGAAAUCCCGGAGCUCAACUCCGGAACUGCACUGGAUACUGCUCCGCUAGAGUACUGGGAGAGGAAACUGGAAUUUACGGUGUAGCAGUGAAAAUGCGUAGAGAUCGUAAAGGGAAGACCAGUGGCGAAGGCGAGUUUCUGGACAGUUACUGACGUGAGGCACGAAGGCCCAGGGGGAGCAAAACGGG
rnacentral:rRNA from 1 species